rnacentral:lncRNA from 1 species
AUUCUUUAGGGGAACUGGCUCCCCAAAUUAUGGAUUAUGUGAAGAUCCAGGUGUAAGCUGAAGAACUAAGGAAACUGGUAGCAUGGUUCAGUUCAAGUCCCAAAUCCUCAGACCCAGAAGAGCCAAUGAUGUAACUAAUUCCAAGGCCAAAUGCUUGGGAAAUUGGUGAGGUGAGGAUAGGGGGUUUGAUGUUAUAAGACCCAGAGUCUAAAGACUAGACGGAUGGAUGGAUAGAUAGAUAGAUAGAUAGAUAGAUAGAUAGAUAGAUAGGUAGAUGAUAGAUGAGAGAGAGAGAGAGAGAGAGAGAGAGAGAGAGAGACAUGGAGGGAGACAGGAACUCUCCUACCUUUCUUCUUUCUUUUUGUUCUAUCUGAGCUCUUAGUUGACUGGAUGAUGGCUACCACACUGAGUGAGGGCAGAUCUUCCUUACUCUGUCCACUAAUUCAAAGACAAAUCUCUUUCAGAAACACCUUUGCCGACAUACCCAAUAAUGCUUUACCAUCUGGUUUCUCUUGAGUCAAGUUGCCACCUAAAAUUAGCCAUCCAAAGGAAAAAACGGAGGGGCAGGGGGCUCACACACUCAUUCAAAGAAAAAUCAUGAUCCUUAUUCAAUUCCUAGAUUUGAGCUUGUUUUCAGAGCGACAACCCAUUAACUAUAGAACAGGUUCUAGGUUGAAGGACAUUGUAAUGCCAUUGCAGAUGUACUGUAAUGAGGAUUCUGAGACACUUCAGACUGUUGGAUACAGGAUCUGAGCAGACACUGGGAGUCAGAGACCUAUAGCAUCAUCAUCACCCCUCUCUCAGAGGGGCUUGUGGGGCUAAAGUCUAACUUACAAUGCAUCCACUGGGUCCACAGCCCCACCCAGUGGUCAUUUCUCUGCUCCUUAAAUGUAUGAUUGGGAUCUCCAUACUUUAUGGUUGCAGUAGCCCUCUCACCAGGUUCUUGGCCUGUGGGUAAGGUCAAAAGAUACCACAGUGGAAGGUCAAGUGAAGCUCUGAAACCGCCUCUCUCCUUUCCCUACCUCAGCCCAAAUAAUAAAGAAAAAUCAACAUCAAGUUCCUGAAGAAACUAGAAGAAUGCUGGAGAAUGACUGAAAAGUGACAAGUUAAACCUAAUAUUAGCCCCAACGACAGUUGCUAGGUCAGUCUAGAAUAUAUAUGUUGCUAGAACGUAUGAGUGUAUGAUACACGUCUCAGCGUCUUCUUAAAGGAUCCACACUAUUGAUGAAAUAAAUUCUACUGAGAAAAGAAUUUCAGGUUUUGCUACAGGGACCCAAAUGGCCAAGACAAAUGUGUAAAUAGAAACCAAAUUAGAGUGGAAACAAGAGAAAAUAAAAAUGUACUUGAAAAGAGCUAGGUGAUGACUCAUUUAAGGUGUUUUGCCAUUUGAAGAGAAUAAGGGGUUGGGAGGUACC